rnacentral:lncRNA from 1 species
UAGGGCUGGCAAAUCGUGCGUGUCGGAUCGUUAUCGGGUCGACCUGAUAUCGACCCGACCUGUUAAGGCCAAACCUGAACACGACCUGUUAAGGAAUUGCUCGACACGAACCCGAACCCGACACGAUUUACUCAAACCCGAACACGACACGAACCCGACACGAACCCGAUAGCAACACGAUUUAAAUCGGAUUGACACGAUACGAUAACGACACGAUAUGCUUAUAACCUGAAUUUGACCUGAUUAAACACGAACACAAUAAUUACACGAAUUUGACCUGAUUAAAACAACACAAUAAUAAUACAAUAAUAUGUGAAUUACAUAACAAAUCAAGUUCAACAAAAUAAAAGUCUAACAACAUAAAAAUAUCGCCAUCUAGUGCCUGUUCUUGGAGUCCAAUCCACAAAUAGUUCUUGUCACUUUGUCUGAACAAAAUGCAAAAUCAAAGGCUGUUUUCAAUUUUCGCUCAGGAAAAUAUCGCCAUCGGCUGUUUUCAAUUUUCGCUCAGGAAACCAAAGGCAGCCGAAGAGGCGAAGACCGUGGAGUGAUACUACUCUUUCACUUGUCUGAACAAAAUGCAAAAUCACAAACUCAAAGGCCCAUACUAACCACAAUCUAUGAUUCAUGAACAAGCACUCAUUUCAUAAUUGAUUUCAUAACUGAAAUGGUCACAAAUGAAGACAAAAAUUUAUCACCUAAAUCAGGAGCAAACACCCAAAAAAAAUUGACAGCAGGUGACCAACGAGAUGCUAAAGAUGAAAAAAAGCUCUUAUCCAAACACCAAACUUACAUCGGAACUAAUUUAGUCAACAACUGCUAUAGGUAAUUAAAUAAUGGCAGAUCCCAUUCUACCUACCUAAGUCCGAGAAUCCACUGCGUCUGAGAGUGAGGGCGGGGUGACUAUUGAAGGAAUCACCGGCGUUGGCGAAGAGGGAGCGACUGUGAGGCUGGGCAGUGCGGGCGGCUGGAGGCGCCGCGGCGGGGCGGGGCAGUGAGAGUCGACGUCGAGUGCGGGCGGCGCCGCGGCGGGGCGGGGCAGUGCGGCGGCUGGAGGCUGGGACUGGGAGUUGGAAGAAUGGAAAUUGGAAUUUGGAAGGGACGAAAGGGUGUGUGCGGCGGGAAUGAAAGUAUGAAACCAAAAACCCUACUAAGAAAUCAAAAGUUUAAAAAUUAAAAUAAAUGUUUAAUAAAAAUAAUAAUAUUAUUAUCGGGUUACCUGAACCGAACCCGACCCAACCCGAACCCGACCUGAAAUUAUCAGGUCCUUAUCAGGUCGACCCGAUAAGGACCCGAACCUUAUCGUGCGUGUUACUAACCCAUUAAUUCCGUGCGGUUUCGUGUCGGGUUUUCG